rnacentral:rRNA from 1 species
AGAUUGAACGCUGGCGGCAUGCCUUACACAUGCAAGUCGAACGGUAGAGUAGCAAUACUUGAGAGUGGCGAACGGGUGAGUAAUAUAUCGGAACGUGCCCAGUCGUGGGGGAUAACGUAGAGAAAUUUACGCUAAUACCGCAUACGAUCUAAGGAUGAAAGCGGGGGACCGUAAGGCCUCGCGC